rnacentral:rRNA from 1 species
UCGAGAAUUUUUCUCAAUGGGGGAAACCCUGAAGGAGCGACGCCGCGUGGAGGAUGAAGGUCUUCGGAUUGUAAACUCCUGUCAUUGGUGAACAAAGCCAUCGGAGUAACUGCCGUUUGGUUUGAUAGUAGCCGAAGAGGAAGGGACGGCUAACUCUGUGCCAGCAGCCGCGGUAAUACAGAGGUCCCGAGCGUUGUUCGGAUUCAUUGGGCGUAAAGGGUGCGUAGGCGGCGAGGCAAGUCUGGUGUGAAAUCCCGGGGCUCAACCCCGGAACUGCACUGGAUACUGCCUUGCUAGAGUACUGGAGAGGGAACUGGAAUUUACGGUGUAGCAGUGAAAUGCGUAGAUAUCGUAAGGAAGACCAGUGGCGAAGGCGAGUUCCUGGACAGUUACUGACGCUGAGGCACGAAGGCCAGGGGAGCAAACGGGAUUAGAUACCCCCGUAGUCC